ACCUAGCUGACGAGUCUCAAAUAGGACAAAACGCACGUCCUGGAU
rnacentral:hammerhead_ribozyme from 1 species